CCUAGAAAGGCUACUGAUUAUAAUGGGCUGCUUUGAGUGCCUCCAACCCCCACCUGUGGAUGUAAGGGAGGGCUGCUUGCUUUGUAUGUGUGUGCAGUGUGUCUAUGUAUUAGACCGUGUGUGUGUGUGUGUGUGUAUUAGGCAGUGUGUGUAUCUGUAUUAGGCACAGUGUCUGUAUGUAUUAGGCAGUGUAUCUGUUUAUUAGGCAG